GGCCUAAUGGCCCAAUGGCAAGGCGCUUGACUACGAUUCACAUCCGAAAUCAAGAGAUUCCAGGUUCGACCCCUGGUUAGGUCA
rfam:Cochliobolus sativus ND90Pr unplaced genomic scaffold COCSAscaffold_17, whole genome shotgun sequence.